rnacentral:rRNA from 1 species
UAAGCACACUGUUGGUUAUGUGUGCCCAAGCAUUGAGGCAGUCAGAGUAGGUAAAUCCGCUUUGAUAAUGCUGGGAUGUGAUGGGGAGCGAAAUUUAGUAGCGAAGUAGCUGAUUUCACACUGUCAAGAAAAGUCUCUAUCGAGGUUAAAGGUACCCGUACCGCAAACCGACACAGGUGGGUGAGGAGAGUAUCCUAAGGCCCGCGAGAGAACUGUUGUUAAGGAACUCGGCAAAAUGACCCCGUAACUUAGGGAUAAGGGGUGCCACCA